GACUUUGUAAUGUGUGCAGAAUGUGGUUUUGCAUUAUCUUGUUGAAAUAUGCAUGGACGUUCCUGGAAAAGAUGUCUUCUUGAAGGCAGCAUAUUGUGCUCCAAAAUCUCUAUGUACUUUUCAGCAUUAAUGGUGCCAUCACAGAAGUGCAAGUUACCUUUGCCUAGGGCACUGACACAACCCAAUACCAUGACAGACCCUGGCUUUUGGACUUGUUGCUGGUAACAGUCUGGAUGAUCCUUUUCUUCUUUGGUCCGGAGCACACGGUGUCCAUUUCUCCCAAAAAAUACCUGAAAUAGUGAUUCAUCUGACCACAGAAGUCGACAGCGCUUCUGGACACUGUUAACAUAGGGCUUCCUUUUGGCACAGUACAGUUUUAACUGGCAUUUGUGGAUGUAACUACGUAUUGUGGUACUUGACAAAGGUUUGCCAAAGUAGUCCUGAGCCCAUGUGGUGAUAUCGCUUAUAGAUGAAUGACGAUUCUUGAUGCAGUGCCGCCUGAGGGAUCGGAGAUCACGGUUGUUCAGCUUAGGCUUGCGCCCUUGUCCUUUACGCACUGAAAUUCCUCCACAUUCCUUGAAUCUUUUAAUUAUGUUAUGCACUGUUGAAGGUGAAAUAAGCAAAUGUCUUCCUAUCUUUCUUUGAGGAACAUUGUUUUUAAACAUUUCAAUAAUUUUCUCACGUAUUUGUUGGCAAACUGGCGAUCCUCGGCCCAUCUUUGCUCCUAAAGGACUAGACCUUUCUUGGAUGCUGCUUUUGUA